rnacentral:rRNA from 1 species
AUACGGAGGGUGCAAGCGUUACUCGGAAUCACUGGUCGUAAAGCGCGCGCAGGCGGUCUUUUAAGUUGGAUGUGAAAGCCUACGGCUCAACCGUAGAACUGCAUCCAAAACUAUUAGACUAGAGUGUGGGAGAGGAAGAUGGAAUUAGUUGUGUAGGGGUAAAAUCCGUAGAGAUAACUAGGAAUACCAAAAGCGAAGGCAAUCUUCUGGAACACUACUGACGCUGAGGCGCGAAAGCGUGGGGAGCAAACGGGAUUAGAUACCCUAGUAGUCC